GACGAACGCUGGCGGCGUGCUUAACACAUGCAAGUCGAACGAAGUGGCGAACGGGUGAGUAAUACGUGGGUAACCUGCCCUCCUUUUUGGGAUAAGCCUUGGAAACGGGGUCUAAUACCGAAUAAAGGGGGAUGGGCUCGCGGCCUAUCAGCUUGUUGGUGGGGUGAUGGCCUACCAAGGCGGUGACGGGUAGCCGGACUGAGAGGGUGAACGGCCACAUUGGGACUGAGAUACGGCCAAGACGCCUACGGGAGGCAGCAGUGGGGGCAAUGGCGCAAUGGUCGAACGCCUGAUGCAGCGACGCCGCGUGGGGGAUGAAGGCUUUCGGGUUGUAAAACUCUUUCGCUAUCGAAGGGGUAGGUGAAGAAUAAGCGCCGGCUAACUACGUGCCAGCAGCCGCGGUAAUUC
rnacentral:rRNA from 1 species